rnacentral:lncRNA from 1 species
UUUUGAAGUUUGCAAGAGGGACUCGGCGAGUUCAUAGCCUGACUCGCCGAGUAGGGACGGGAUUUCGAGCACGUGUUAGCUGGCGACUCGGCGAGUCCAUAUUCUGGACUCGGCGAGUCUGUCUGUCUGGGAGAAACCCUAAAUCCCCGGGUUGCCCACUAUUUAAGCCACCUUAUAGCCUCCAUUCUCGCCUCCUUCACCCUUAGAGAGCUGUGAGAAAACCCUAAUUCGUUCUUGAGUGAUUUUAAGUGAUCUUGUGUUCAUUUGUGAAGGCUUGAAGAAGGAGAAGAAGAAAGGAGCAAGGAGAAGAGUUGUAGAGCAAAGAUUCAAGGGAAAACCAGAGUUCUUUGAGGUAUUCUUCGGAUUUCCUUCCCUUUUAUGCUUUAAAAACCCCUCUAGAUCUAGUUGAUGCUAUUCUCAAGCCUUAUGUUGAUAUGGAAGCCCUAUUAUGUCGAGAUAUCCUUAGAUCUGUUCAUUUAGGAGUUGUAGAGCCCAGAUCUAUUGCCUUUAUGGAGCUAUUUUGCAUCAUAACCCUAGAUCUACCCCUUUUAAGUGCCUUUUUAGCCUUUAUUCCCUUUUUCAUGUGUUUGUACAUGUAAAGUUGGAAACUUUACGUGGUAAAUCAGCUUAUUGGACUCAGAUCUAUCAUUUGUAUGUAAUGGAUUCAAGCAGAAUCGAGUGUAGAAUAGUUGCAUGGCUGUGACUCGGCGAGUCGGAAGAACGACUCGGCGAGUCGAGUCGCGAGUCCCCGAUUUCUUCCUUUUGAGCGGUGUCGAGUGGGACCAGUGAGUAGUGGAGUGGACUCAGCGAGUUUGAGGGUAGACUCAGUAAUGGAGGGACUCGGCGAGUUGUUCAUACAACUCGGCGAGUCCAAGGCAAUCUUCUUAAGCUCAAGAACAACUCGUCGAGUUGUUCAUAUGACUCGGCGAGUCGGAUGAAGAUUGUCUGAGUUCUUGGAUCGAGAGGGUACUCGUCGAGUCGAUGUCAUACUCGACGAGUAGCAGCGAGUAGGGUCGAGGAGUGAGAAUAGGGACUCGGCGAGUUGGCGGCCCAACUCGGCGAGUCAGGUCAACUGUGAGUUGACUUUGACCGAGAGUUGACUUUGACCAAGGGUAAAAGAGUCAUUUUACCCAGUGCAGUGUUUAGUAUUUGAUUGAGUGUGUUUAUGGACUUGUAGCCGGGGAGAUACCGGAGCAGCAGCAGUUAGCCCUCAGAGCCAUUCACUCAGCAGCCAGUUCACGAGGUGAGUUUCCUUUCAGUAGGAACGGGUCUAAGGCCACAAUGCCGGCCCGUUUAGCUAGCAGUAGUAUCCGGAUUUUGAUCCGAUGCAGUAGUUAGCAUGUUUGAUGCCUUCGUGGCUCAGACAGGAUUAUGUGUGUUCAUGUUAGUGAUAUGUUUAUGCUAUGAUCAGUCAGCUUCGGACUUCGGUCCGAUGUCAGCUUCGGACUUCGGUUCGAUGUAGGGGACAAGGUCCCAGUCAGCUUCGGACUUCGGUCCGAUGUCAGCUUCGGACUUCGGUUCGAUGUAGGGGACAAGGUCCCAGUCAGCUUCGGACUUCGGUCCGAUGUCAGCUUCGGACUUCGGUUCGAUGUAGGGGACAAGGUCCCAGUCAGCUUCGGACUUCGGUCCGAUGUCAGCUUCGGACUUCGGUCCGAUGUAGGGGACAAGGUCCCAGUCAGCCAGCUUCGGACUUCGGUCCGAUGGAGGGGGCAAGGCCCCAGUAUGUGCUUGAUAUGUUAUUGUAUGGUAUGUGGUAGUUUGGGGGAGCUCACUAAGCUUCGUGCUUACAGUUUCAGUUUUGGUUUCAGGUACUUCCGCAAGCAGAGGGAAGAGCUCGGGAUGAUGGCAUCGCACACACCACAGCUUCAGCUUUUAUCCUGGGAGUUGAUUUAGUUUUUGAUUUUGAUAUGACAUAGAUAUGAUACAGUUUUCCGCACAGUGUUUUUAUUAUGUUUGGGAUACAUCACGUAUGGUUUUAUGAUAUGACACUCAGAUUAUGGUUUUUGGUUAUAUUGAAAAAUGAAAUUUUUGGGUCGUAUUUUUGGGUCGUUUCAAGUUGGUAUCAGAGCCUUGGUUUGAGGGAUUCGGAUACACUUCCGGGUGUAUCUGAACUCAAACUAAGGGGAAAUAAAAAGAUUUUUAAAAAGAAAAUGUUUUCUAAAAGAAUUUUGAAAGCACUUAGAAAGAAAGAAAUUUUUAAACAAGAUAAGGGUGUGGUGCAUGCGAUCAGCCGAGCUCAAGUAAGUACUCCCAAAUUACCCAUACAAGUUAUUUGUUCAGUUUCAGUUUCAGUAGAACAGCAUGCUAGUAUAGGACUAAGGAUCUAGGAGGAUGCCUUAUGUGCCUGCUUUAUGUGUUACAGCUUUAUGAGUAUUGCAUGCUAGUAUUGAGUAGACAGCAGUAGGAUAGCCUGUUUAGGUUAUGCCUGAUAGUAUGAGCUUAGCAUUGUAUGCUAGUACAGUUUCUCGUUAUGAGAAUAGUUUUGCCUGAGUAUGUUUCCUUUAUCCGAAUGCUGCUUGCUUCGUGCUUUGUGGGGUUCUGAGUGAUGGGAGUUAGCCAUUAGGUGAACACGUCACACCACAUGUGAUCAGGGUUGAAUAAUCCCAGAGUGCUGGAACUGGCCCUAUUGCGCAGCUCUUGUUUGAGUCCAACCGUUAUAGGGACGGGUCUUUUACUUGAAGGAUUAUCUGAUCUUCGUCACAUGUGAUGGUGUUCAGGUGGUGGUUAAUUAGCAUUAUAAGGAGACCUGCAGCAGCUGAGGACUAGUUGAGUUGAGUCUGAGGUUUCCCUGGGGCAAGCCUAGGAUGAGAGUAGCAGAGAUCAGUAGUAGUAGAAGUGACUUGGUGGAGUCAGGGCAGUUCUUGAAGAAAGUACGGAUAGAUGUGGAAGGUAGUAUGGGCCCGUACUACUGGAAGCAGAGGAUCCGUACUCGAAUCAAGAAAGGCUGAGACAAGACCAGGAAGCUAGUUGUAGUAUCAAUGAUCCCUUGAGAUAUUUCUGUUUUCUGAUGUAGUUGUGAUGUGUUUCAGAAUGGUGGUUUUGCGUUCGAGACCAGCAGCCGGCAGCGGAGGUGCCGGGGAGGGAUCAGGUUCAGGCUCGGGGGAUGAGCGCAUGGAUGAGCAGACCCGAGAGUUUCUUUCUUCGGAGAUUACGCGCAUCAUUAUAGAGCAGACUCCUGUGAUCUUCGGUUCGAUCAAGGAGGGGAUUCUAGAGCUGAUGGAUGAGAGAUUGGGCACCUUCCGUGCCGAGGUGGCGGCCAUGAUGGGGUCGCGCACCCUUACUUUCAGGGAGUUCAGGGCAUGUGGAGCUCCGGACUAUCAUGGGGCGCGAGACCCCAUAGCGAGCACCAGAUGGUUGGCGGAUGUGGCCAACGCUUUCCGUACUAGCAGAUGUCCCGAGGGGGACAAGGUCAGAUUGGCGUCCUGUCUUCUGAAGGACAGGGCACGAGAUUGGUGGGAGGAGGUCGGGCAUGCCAUUGGGGAUGAUGCAGCAUUGGACGCCAUGACCUGGGCUGAUUUCUCUACCAGGUUCAGGGCGGAGUUUGCACCGGUCAUUGAGGUGCAACAGCUAGCUAGGGAGUUUCAGGACCUCACCCAGACUACAGAGACAGUGGCGGAGAUCACCGCCAAGUUCAGGGAGAGGGCUCUUCUCGUUCCUCAGUAUGUAGCUGAUGAGGAAAUGAAGAAGGCCCGUUAUCAUGAGAUGUUGCGGAGCGAUAUCCGCCAGUUUGUGAGCCGGUCCAGCUGUAAAACGCUGGAAGAUAUGAUUGCUAGGGCUCGGGAGAGGGAGAUUGAUCUCGAGAUGGAGAAGAAGAGGAAACCGGAGGCGGUUUCGGGUUCAGGCGGUUCGGGCAAAAAGCCCAAGGUUUCAGAUCACAGAUCUAGGAGUCAGCAGAGCCACGGUCGAUGUGGCAAGUGUGGGAGAUUGCACGAGGGAGCGUGCAAGGCAGGGAGUUCCGGCUGCUACAAGUGCGGUCGGAUUGGGCAUUUGAGUAGGGAUUGUACGGCCCCUGCUACUGCCGUCGCAGCAUCAGAUCUGAUUUGCUUUCAGUGCAAUCAGAGGGGACAUAAAAAGUCCCAGUGUCCGAGUUUAGCUUCAGCAGGGAAGGUGGCUGCACCUGCCCCUGCUACCUUGAGGAUUACAGAUGGCCGGCAGGGCCGAGCUGAUGCGCCAGUGGCGAAGAGUAGGGCGUUUCAGAUGACAGCAGAGGAGGCGCGAGCGACUCCUGAUGUGGUGACGGGUAUGUAUCUUCCCUUUAUCUCUUUAUUAUUAUUGAUUGAAUAUUGCUUAUGAUUGUAUGUUUUAUUCAGGGUCGUUCUCUGUGAACGGCAUUUCUGCUUUGGUAUUAUUCGAUUCGGGGGCUACCCGAUCAUUCGUAUCACUUGCGCUUAGCAAGAGAUUUAGUAGAGCUCCAGGGGAGCUGGAUUGUCCAUUAGAGGUUGAGAUAGCAGAUGAUAGGACCGUGAGGGUCGGCAGAGUGCACAGAGGGUGUUCUCUUCAGUUAUUUGAUGAGCAGUUUUCAGUGGAUCUGGUACCUAUUCCCCUGCGAGGGAAUAAGGUUAUUGUGGGUAUGGAUUGGCUAAGCCCCAAUGGGGCGGUGAUUGAUUGUGAGCUUCAGCUAGUGAGGGUUCGCACUCCCAGUGGGGGAGAGUUGGUGAUUCAGGGCGAGAGGCCACAGCGAGGACCGACCUUUUGUUCCGCCGCAAGGGCGAGGCGCUAUGUUCAGCAGGGUUGCGCCGGUUUUGUAGCUUACGUUUUGGAUGCCCGGGAGAAGGGCAAGUCGACAGUUGAUGAUGUUCCUAUUGUUCGAGACUACCCGGACGUGUUUCCCGAGGAUUUGCCGGGGAUACCUCCUGAGAGACAGGUUGAGUUCAGGAUCGACCUCAUUCCUGGUGCGGCUCCGAUAGCCAAGGCACCGUAUCGACUAGCUCCCCCUGAGAUGCAGGAGUUGUCUACACAGCUGCAGGAGCUGUUAGACAAGGGUUUCAUUCGGCCGAGCAGUUCGCCUUGGGGAGCGCCGAUCCUGUUUGUGAGGAAGAAGGAUGGGUCGCAUCGUAUGUGUAUAGAUUACCGGGAGUUGAAUAAGGUAACGGUGAAGAACCGUUACCCACUUCCGAGGAUAGAUGAUUUGUUUGAUCAGCUUCAGGGAGCGUCUUGGUUCUCCAAGAUCGAUCUACGCUCCGGUUAUCAUCAGAUGCGGGUUAGAGAUGAGGAUGUACAGAAGACUGCUUUCAGGACCAGGUAUGGUCAUUAUGAGUUUGUGGUGAUGCCAUUUGGGCUCACCAAUGCUCCAGCCGCGUUCAUGGAUCUCAUGAACCGCGUGUGUAGGCCGAUGCUGGAUCGGUCAGUGAUAGUGUUCAUAGAUGACAUCUUGGUAUAUUCCAAGACGCAGGAGCAGCACGAGGAGCACCUGCGGGAGGUGCUGGAGGUUUUGAGGAGGGAGAGACUUUUCGCAAAGUUCUCCAAAUGUGAGUUCUGGUUGCGCGAGGUGCAGUUCCUUGGUCACCUCGUCAACCAGAAGGGUAUUUUGGUAGAUCCGGCCAAGAUAGAGGCCGUGAUGCAGUGGGAGGUCCCGAAGUCUCCAUCUGAGAUUCGGAGCUUCCUAGGGUUGGCAGGGUAUUAUCGGAGAUUUAUUCAGGAUUUCUCCAAGAUAGCAGUGCCGCUCACCCGACUGACCAAGAAGUCAGUGGUAUUUCGUUGGGGUCCGGAGCAGCAGACAGCAUUCGAGACCCUCAGGCAGAGAUUGUGCGAGGCUCCGAUCCUUACCUUGCCAGAGGGAGUAGAGGACUUUGUAGUCUAUUGUGAUGCCUCGAUCACAGGUUUGGGAGCAGUUCUGAUGCAGCGAGGCCAUGUGAUAGCUUAUGCCUCGAGACAGUUGAAGCCUCACGAGGCUAAUUAUCCUACCCAUGAUUUGGAGCUGGGGGCAGUUGUGUUUGCCCUCAAGAUUUGGAGGCAUUACCUUUAUGGGGUCCGUUGUACUAUUUACACGGAUCACAAGAGUUUGAGGUAUCUUAUGGAUCAGCCGAGUCUGAACAUGAGGCAGAGGAGGUGGUUGGAUGUGCUAAAGGAUUACGACUGUGAGAUCCUAUACCAUCCAGGGAAGGCCAAUGUGGUGGCCGAUGCCCUGAGCCGCAAGGUGUCGGCGGCCCCUAUCAGGGAUCUAUGUUUGAGGAUGACAGUGAUCACUCCGUUGUUGGAGCGGAUCAAGGAGGCUCAGGUAGAGGGUCUCAAGGAGGAGAGACAGAAGUGUGAGAGGAUCGUGGGCCGAGUAGCCUCGUUUGAUUAUGAUAGUCGUGGUUUGCUGACGCUUCACGGGAGAGUGUGGGUACCGUACUGGGGUGGAGUACGGCAAGUGUUGAUGGAUGAGGCUCAUAAGUCUCGGUUUUCUAUCCACCCAGGGGCGACGAAGAUGUAUCGAGAUCUUCGACCUGAUUAUUGGUGGCCCUGCAUGAAGCGGGACGUCGCCUGGUACGUCGAGAGAUGCCUGACCUGCCGGAAGGUCAAGGCGGAGCACCAGAGACCUCACGGCAAGAUGCAGCCGUUAGACAUUCCCGUGUGGAAAUGGGAGGACAUCACCAUGGAUUUUGUCACCAAGCUUCCCAGGACCGCACGAGGAGUGGAUUCGAUAUGGGUAGUAGUGGAUCGGUUGACGAAGAGUGCCCAUUUUAUCCCGAUCCAGGAGAGUAUAUCGGCGGAGAAGUUAGCCGAUAUCUAUGUGCGAGAGAUUGUGGCACGUCAUGGAGUGCCGGUAUCGGUGGUGUCAGACCGAGAUGUCCGUUUCACAUCCAGAUUCUGGAAGCGGUUCCACGACGAGAUGGGUACUCGUCUCCAUUUCAGCACCGCUUUCCACCCUCAGACGGACGGGCAGAGCGAGAGGACGAUUCAGACUCUCGAGGACAUGCUUAGGGCAUGUGUUCUAGAUUUCGGUGGCAGUUGGGAUACGUAUCUUCUGUUAGCGGAAUUUUCGUAUAACAACAGUUAUCAUGCGAGCAUUGAUCGACCUCCCUUUGAGAUGCUUUAUGGGAGGAAGUGUAGGACCCCGAUUUGUUGGGGCGAGGUCGGUCAGCGAGUCAUCGGGAGCACAGAAGUGGUGCUCAAGACGACCGAGUUGAUCCAGCAGGUCCGUAGUAGACUGCAGACUGCGCAGAGUCGGCAGAAGAGCUACGCCGACAGGAGGCGUUCGGACUUGGAGUUCCAGGUGGGAGAUAUGGUCCUUCUGAAGGUCUCACCUUGGAAGGGUGUCAUCAGAUUCCGGAAGAGGGGCAAGUUGGGCCCCAGAUUUAUUGGUCCUUUCAGGGUUUUGGCCCGGGUGGGUCGGGUUGCUUAUCGAAGAGAUCUUCCUAAGGAGCUUAGUCAGAUCCACAACACUUUCCAUGUGUCUCAGUUGAGGAAGUGUUUGGUUGAUGAGUCAGCAGUCGUUCCCCUAGAGGAUAUUCAGGUUGAUAGCAGUCUAAAUUAUAUUGAGAGGCCGGUCGCGAUUCUGGACCGAAAGACCAAGACCUUGAGGAAUAUUGGGGAUUCAUCACUUGACCUAAUUCUUCAGUUUUUCCCCAUCUCCACUUACGCCAUUAUCGAUCAGACUUCAUUCUACUUGGAGCUCCUCUCACUCUUAUUUGUUCUAUUGUUCGCCGCCUGCUCUGUCAAUCAUCGGUAGGUGGUUCUCGAUUGAUGAUCCUCAUCGCCUUCGUGUUUAAUUUGCAUCAUCCUACUCUUCGCUGCUUUUUUUCUCAAUCUUCUUUGUCCCUACCAGGUAACCUUCUUUUUUGUUCUGUUUGCUUCUUAAAACACGUGUGAAUCGCCACUAAAUCAUCUGCUUGUGUCGCCUGAAAACAACAGCGAUUAUUUCCAACUAAUGAUGCAUUUUCCCUUUCUAUCAUCCAAUAAACUGAGGAUCUAUUAAUCUCUCCAUUGAAUACGAGGUGAUUCAAUGCUCUUUAACUCUACCAAUGUGUAGCGACCCGUCUCCGGUAUGAUGAUUCCAUAGCAUUUAUUUUGAAGUUUGCAAGAGGGACUCGGCGAGUUCAUAGCCUGACUCGCCGAGUAGGGACGGGAUUUCGAGCACGUGUUAGCUGGCGACUCGGCGAGUCCAUAUUCUGGACUCGGCGAGUCUGUCUAUCUGGGAGAAACCCUAAAUCCCCGGGUUGCCCACUAUUUAAGCCACCUUAUAGCCUCCAUUCUCGCCUCCUUCACCCUU